rnacentral:rRNA from 1 species
UCCACGCCCUAAACGAUGUACACUAGUUGUUGUGAGGCUCGACCUUGCAGUAAUGCAGUUAACACAUUAAGUGUACCGCCUGGGGAGUACGGUCGCAAGAUUAAAACUCAAAGGAAUAGACGGGGACCCGCACAAGCGGUGGAGCAUGUGGUUUAAUUCGACGAUACACGAAGAACCUUACCUGGACUUGACAUAGUAAGAACUUUCUAGAGAUAGAUUG